AUCCAGCUGACGAGUCCCAAAUAGGAUGAAACGUGCGUCUUGGAU
rnacentral:hammerhead_ribozyme from 1 species